rnacentral:rRNA from 1 species
UACGUAGGGUGCGAGCGUUGUCCGGAAUUACUGGGCGUAAAGAGCUCGUAGGUGGUUUGUCGCGUUGUUCGUGAAAACUCACAGCUUAACUAUGGGCGUGCGGGCGAUACGGGCAGACUGGAGUACUGCAGGGGAGACUGGAAUUCCUGGUGUAGCGGUGGAAUGCGCAGAUAUCUGGAGGAACACCGGUGGCGAAGGCGGCAUCCUGGACCAAUUCUGACGCUGAGGAGCGAAAGCCAGGGGAGCAAACGGG